rnacentral:rRNA from 1 species
AGGGGUUUGAUCAGGCUCAGAACGAACGCUGGCGGCAUGCCUAACACAUGCAAGUCGAACGAGGGCUUCGGCCCUAGUGGCGCACGGGUGAGUAACGCGUGGGAACCUGCCCUGUGGUACGGAAUAACUCCGGGAAACUGGAGCUAAUACCGUAUGUGUCCUGCGGGACAAAGAUUUAUCGCCAUGGGAUGGGCCCGCGUAGGAUUAGCUUGUUGGCGGGGUAACGGCCCACCAAGGCUACGAUCCUUAGCUGGUCUGAGAGGAUGAUCAGCCACACUGGGACUGAGACACGGCCCAGACUCCUACGGGAGGCAGCAGUGGGGAAUAUUGGACAAUGGGCGCAAGCCUGAUCCAGCAAUGCCGCGUGAGUGAUGAAGGCCUUCGGGUUGUAAAGCUCUUUCGCACGCGACGAUGAUGACGGUAGCGUGAGAAGAANCCCCGG